GCGGGCGAGGUUGCUUCGGUAACUGAGCUAGCGGCGGACGGGUGAGUAAUGCUUAGGAAUCUGCCUAUUAGUGGGGGACAACAUUCCGAAAGGGAUGCUAAUACCGCAGACGUCCUACGGGAGAAAGCAGGGGAUCAUUUGACCUUGCGCUAAUAGAUGAGCCUAAGUCGGAUUAGCUAGUUGGUGGGGUAAAGGCCUACCAAGGCGACGAUCUGUAGCGGGUCUGAGAGGAUGAUCCGCCACACUGGGACUGAGACACGGCCCAGACUCCUACGGGAGGCAGCAGUGGGGAAUAUUGGACAAUGGGGGGAACCCUGAUCCAGCCAUGCCGCGUGUGUGAAGAAGGCCUUUUGGUUGUAAAGCACUUUAAGUGGGGAGGAGGCUUACCUGGUUAAUACCUGGGCUAAGUGGACGUUACCCACAGAAUAAGCACCGGCUAACUCUGUGCCAGCAGCCGCGGUAAUACAGAGGGUGCGAGCGUUAAUCGGAUUUACUGGGCGUAAAGCGCGCGUAGGUGGUUAAUUAAGUCAAAUGUGAAAUCCCCGAGCUUAACUUGGGAAUUGCAUUCGAUACUGGUUAGCAGAGUAUGGGAGAGGAUGGUAGAAUUCCAGGUGUAGCGGUGAAAUGCGUAGAGAUCUGGAGGAAUACCGAUGGCGAAGGCAGCCAUCUGGCCUAAUACUGACACUGAGGUGCGAAAGCAUGGGGAGCAAACAGGAUUAGAUACCCUGGUAGUCCAUGCCGUAAACGAUGUCUACUAGCCGUUGGGGGAUUUGAUCCUUUAGUGGCGCAGCUAACGCGAUAAGUAGACCGCCUGGGGAGUACGGUCGCAAGACUAAAACUCAAAUGAAUUGACGGGGGCCCGCACAAGCGGUGGAGCAUGUGGUUUAAUUCGAUGCAACGCGAAGAACCUUACCUGGCCUUGACAUAGUAGAGACUUUCCAGAGAUGGAAAGGUGCCUUCGGGAAUCUACAUACAGGUGCUGCAUGGCUGUCGUCAGCUCGUGUCGUGAGAUGUUGGGUUAAGUCCCGCAACGAGCGCAACCCUUUUCCUUACUUGCCAGCAUUUCGGAUGGGAACUUUAAGGAUACUGCCAGUGACAAACUGGAGGAAGGCGGGGACGACGUCAAGUCAUCAUGGCCCUUACGGCCAGGGCUACACACGUGCUACAAUGGUCGGUACAAAGGGUUGCUACACAGCGAUGUGAUGCUAAUCUCAAAAAGCCGAUCGUAGUCCGG
rnacentral:rRNA from 1 species